rnacentral:SRP_RNA from 1 species
GUGCCCUCUCCAAGCCCGAAGUUGGCCGAAACCACUUAGCCCAAGGGCUAGAUGGGGUUGGUUCUACAGCGAAGGAGAACGCACGAGACUGGCUACACGGAGCAACGACCACCUUCUUCUCUUAGCAGUGGAAGGACGACAC